CGAGCCGGGCGGACGGCCGCGUGAAGGUCCUCACGGACCUCCCCGAGGAACGUCCGGGCUCCACAGGGCAGGGUGGUGGCUAACGGCCACCCGGGGUGACCCGCGGGACAGUGCCACAGAAAACAGACCGCCCAGUGCUCAGGCGCUGGGUAAGGGUGAAACGGUGGUGUAAGAGACCACCAGUGCCCAGGGUGACCUGGGCAGCUAGGUAAACCCCACCCGGAGCAAGGUCAAGAGGAGCCGCCCUAAAAAGCGGCUCUGCGCGGACGUUCGAGGGCAGCCCGCCCAAGUCCGCGGGUAGACCGCACGAGGCCAGCGGCAACGCUGGCCCUAGAUGGAUGGCCGUCACCACGGGCGCCGCGAGGACCCGUGGUACAGAACCCGGCGUACAGCCCGACUCGUCUG
rnacentral:RNase_P_RNA from 1 species